ensembl:lncRNA
GUGGGAUCUGGUGGGGUUUGGGGUCUGCAAUCUGAUGGGAUCUGGUGGGACCUGGUGGGAUCUGCUUCGAUCUUGUGGGGUUUGAUGGGGUCUGGUGGGGGCUGGUGGGAUUUGGGGUCUGCAAUCUGAUGGGAUCUGGUGGGAUCUGGUCAGAUCUGGCUGGAUCUGGUGGGGUUUGAUGGGGUCUGGUGGGGGCUGGUGGGAUUUGGGGUCUGGGAUCUGAUGGGGCCUGGUGGGAUCUGCUUGGAUCUCACAGGGUUUGAUGGGAUCUGAUGGGAUCUGGUGGGGUUUGGGGACUGCAAUCUGGUGGGGUCUGGUGGGAUCCAGGGCCAUGAUCAGAUUGGAUCUGGUGGGAUCUGGUGGGAUUUGGGACUGCGAUCUGAUGGGGUCCGGUGGGAUCUGGGGCCAUGAUUGGAUGGGAUCUGGUGGGGUCUGGUGGGGUUUGAUGAAAUUUGAUGGGAUCUGCUUGGAUCUCGUGGGCUUUGAUGGGGUCUGGUAGGGUUUGGAACUAGAAUCUGAUGAGAUCCAGUGGGAUCUGGUGAUGUUUGGAACCAGGAUCUGAUGGGAUCUGGUGGGAUCUGGCUGGACCUGGUGGGGUUUGAUGGGAUCUGGUGGGGGCUGGUGGGGUCUGGAAUCUGGUGGGAUCUGGUUGGAUCUGGCUGGAUGUGGUGGGGUUUGGUGGGAUCCGCUUGGAUCUCGUGGGCUUUGAUGGGAUCUGAUGGGAUCUGAUGGGAUCUGAUGGGAUCUGAUGGGGACUGGUGGGAUCUGCUUGGAUCUCGUGGAGUUUGAUGGAAUCUGAUGGGGGCUGGUGGGAUUUGGGGCCUGGAAUCUGGUGGGAUCUGGUGGGAUUUCAUUUGGUCUGGUGGGAUCUGGUGGGGUUUGGGGUCUGGAAUCUGGUGGGGUCCGGUGGGAUCUGGGGCCAUGAUUGGAUCAGAUCUGAUGGGGUCUGGUGGGCUUUGGUGGGAUCUGCUUGGAUCUCGUGGGGUUUGGUGGGAUCUGGUGGGAUCUGGUGGGGUUUGGUGAGAUUUGGGGUCUGGAAUCUGGUGGGAUCUGGUGGGAUCUGGGGCCAUGAUUGGAUGGGAUCUGGUGGGGUCUGAUGGGGUCUGGUGGGAUUUGGGGACUGGGAUCUGAUGAGAUCCAGUGGGAUCUGAUGAUGUUUGGAACCAGGAUCUGAUGGGAUCUGGUGGGGUCUGGUGGGGUUUGGUGGGACCUGCUUGGAUCUUGUGGGGUUUGAUGGGAUCUGAUGGGAUCUGGUGGGGUCUGGGGACUGCAAUCUGGUGGGGUGUGGUGGGGUUUGAUGGGACCUGGUGGGAUUUCAUUGGGUCUGGUGGGAUCUGAUGGAAUCUGAUGGGAUCUGGUGGGGUUUGGUGGGACCUGGUGGGGUCUGGUGGGGUUUCAUUGGAAUCUGGUGGGGCUUCAUUGGCUCUGGUGGGAUCUGGUGGGGUUUGAUGGGCUCUGAUGGGACCUGGUGGGGUUUCAUUGGCUCUGGUGGGAUCUCGUGGGGUUUGAUGGGGUCUGAUGGGACCUGGUGGGAUUUCAUUGGGUCUGGUGGGAUCUGGUGGGGUUUGAUGGGAUCUGGUGGGGUUUGGGACCACGAUUGGAUCGGAUCUGCUGGGGUCUGAUGGGAUUUGGGCUCUGGAAUCCGAUUGGAUCUGGAGAAUUUCGGGGAAUCCUGAAAGGAUUUUUGUGCAUCCCCCCCCGCCCCAUUGGGAACCCCGGUGGGGGCGUGGCUUGAAUGCAAAUGAC